AGAAAAAUAAAUUCUUUAAAAAAAGAAAUGUAUUACAUGAACAUGAUGUGUUUCAUGAAGAUGGCAUUCCCCUGACCCCAGUGUUCUUUGAGUUGAUCCAACUCCAGGGGAGAUUUUUCGGGGGGUGGGGGAAGGAGUUGUUUUCAAAAUAAUUUUCAUGAUCUCUUUGUGGCAAAUGCAGUGAUUUCUGGUGUUGUGGAGCUCUGAUACUGGCCAAGCUCUGCCCGGGGCCCUGGGAGGUUUUCCUUUUCUUGUUUACCAGAGUGAUUUAGGUGAUUCUGUGCCAAGAGAUUCCAUGAUCUCUCACUAGAGACCCGAUUCCUUGGACUCACCAUCAAUUCACGUCCAGGGCAGGGCUCCUGUGACCAAUCUAAGAGUCCCCCAAAGAGACCCCCAGAGCUGCUGCUGUCUGUGCCCUGUGGCCUACACUCUGGCUUCUUCCAUCCCUUGAGGGACCAGUCCCUCUACUGCUGAAUGACUGACGGGUAUUUAUCAUUUGCACCUCAGCUGUGUGCCUGAGGUUGUUCCUGGCAUAGAGGAAAAGUCUUCUCUUCACAAAGCCCCCUUCCAGAGGGCAUCCAGACAGCGUGGAAGAGAGAGGGACAAGAAGUGACGUCAGCUGUGGGAAUCCACCCAACCUAAACACAAGGAAGAAGGUGAAUAGGAUCUGGCAAGCAGACCACAGCUCAAGAGGCAGCCGAUGUAGGAUCCGGGGCAAAGCUUCCAGCCCUCAGGGUACUGAGACACCCUCUGCUUUGCAUCUGCUUAUGCCUUUUCCCAGCCUACUUCAACUGCAAUAGCAGCAGCAGCUGCAGGAAGACUCAGCUAAAACCAAGGUGACUAAGACUGAAUACUUGAGCACUGAGCUGUGAGCACAAGGGUCUCCACAGCACAAAAGAUAGAAAAGAUAAAAGCCAGGAAAUGAUGGAAAAGGUUUUCGUUUUGUUUUGUUAAAAGGACACACACUUAGAAUUUAAUUUGUUCCCUGGGUUUGAACAUAUGCUACUAAAGAGAGAACCAAAAUGAAAAUAUUGUGUUUCUUUUCUGAGAUAGGGUCUCAUGUUAGCUAGAGUGGCCCCAAACUCCUUAAGUAGCCAAGGCUGACUUUGAACUCUUGAUCUUCCAUCCUCUUUAUCUCCCAGAGCUGGGAUUACAGGAAUGACCACCACUGCUGUAUUAUAAUUUCAAGUCUGGCAAUACAGAGAGGAGGAAUCUCAUGAGAUAUGUGGCAUGGCAUCAACCCCGGGCCAAGAGGGGUAAGCCCAGGAAGUGACUAUGUGUUUAGUGUCACGGCCCUGAACGCCCCCAGAUGCUGUAACUCUGAAUAAGUCUGCAGUGCAAGUUCUAAGUGAGGGUUUAACUCUAGUGACCUGAAUCAUCUGAUGAUGUUUG
rnacentral:lncRNA from 1 species